UAGAAUCACUGUCUGAGCCUGGGUAUGAAG
rnacentral:piRNA from 1 species